rnacentral:rRNA from 1 species
UACAGAGGUGGCAAGCGUUGUUCGGAAUUACUGGGCGUAAAGGGCGCGUAGGCGGUCAGGUCAGUCCCGUGUGAAAUCCCUCGGCUCAACUGAGGAACUGCACGGGAAACUGCCUGGCUUGAGUUCGGGAGAGGGAAGCGGAAUUCCGGGUGUAGCGGUGAAAUGCGUAGAUAUCCGGAGGAACACCGGUGGCGAAGGCGGCUUCCUGGACCGACACUGACGCUGAGGCGCGAAAGCUAGGGGAGCAAACAGG